UACGAAGGGGGCUAGCGUUGUUCGGAAUUACUGGGCGUAAAGCGUGCGCAGGCGGUUUUGUAAGUUUGUCGUGAAAUCCCCGGGCUCAACCUGGGAAUGGCGAUGAAGACUGCAAGGCUAGAAUCUGGCAGAGGGGGGUAGAAUUCCACGUGUAGCAGUGAAAUGCGUAGAGAUGCGGAGGAACACCAGUGGCGAAAGCGGCUUUCUGGUCCUUAACUGACGCUGAGGCGCGAAAGCAUGGGGAGCGAACGGG
rnacentral:rRNA from 1 species